rnacentral:rRNA from 1 species
GAUGAAAGCUGGCGGCGUGCCUAAUACAUGCAAGUCGAGCGAACAGAUAAGGAGCUUGCUCCUUUGACGUUAGCGGCGGACGGGUGAGUAACACGUGGGUAACCUACCUAUAAGACUGGAAUAACUCCGGGAAACCGGGGCUAAUGCCGGAUAACAUUUAGAACCGCAUGGUUCUAAAGUGAAAGAUGGUUUUGCUAUCACUUAUAGAUGGACCCGCGCCGUAUUAGCUAGUUGGUAAGGUAACGGCUUACCAAGGCAACGAUACGUAGCCGACCUGAGAGGGUGAUCGGCCACACUGGAACUGAGCCACAGUCCAGACUCCUACGGGGGGCAGCAGUAGGGAAUCUUCCGCAAUGGGCGAAAGCCUGACGGAGCAACGCCGCGUGAGUGAUGAAGGGUUUCGGCUCGUAAAACUCUGUUAUUAGGGAAGAACAAACGUGUAAGUAACUGUGCACGUCUUGACGGUACCUAAUCAGAAAGCCACGGCUAACUACGUGCCAGCCGCCGCAGUAAAAC